CAAGUCGAGUGCGCAGUCUUCUGUAGCAAUACAGGAGAUCGGCGCACGGCGCACGGGUGCGUAACACGUGGGUAACCUGCCCUCCAAAGGGGGAUAACCCGCCGAAAGGCGGGCUAAUACCGCAUGACAUUCCGGUGGCUUCGGCCGCUGGAAUCAAAGCCCGCAAGGGCGUUGGAGGAGGGGCCCGCGGCCGAUUAGCUUGUUGGCGAGGUAAUGGCUCACCAAGGCUUUGAUCGGUAGCCGGUCUGAGAGGAUGGCCGGCCACACUGGAACUGAGACACGGUCCAGACUCCUACGGGAGGCAGCAGUGGGGAAUCUUGCGCAAUGGGCGAAAGCCUGACGCAGCGACGCCGCGUGGGGGAUGAAGCUUCUCGGAGUGUAAACCCCUUUCGACCCGGACGAAACGCCCGCAAGGGCUUGACGGUACGGGUAUAAGAAGCCCCGGCUAACUACGUGCCAGCAGCCGCGGUAAGACGUAGGGGGCCAGCGUUGCUCGGAAUUACUGGGCGUAAAGGGUUCGUAGGCGGUGCGGUAAGUCGGAAGUGAAAUCUCUGGGCUUAACUCAGAGGCUGCUUUCGAAACUGCCGUGCUAGAGUGCGGGAGAGGCGAGUGGAAUUACAGGUGUAGCGGUGAAGUGCGUAGAUAUCUGUAGGAACACCCGUGGCGAAGGCGGCUCGCUGGACCGCAACUGACGCUGAGGAACGAAAGCUAGGGGAGCAAACAGGAUUAGAUACCCUGGUAGUCCUAGCCCUAAACCAUCAGGACUUGGGGUGGCCCGCGUUGGCGGGUCGUCCCGGAGCUAACGCGUUAAGUCCUGCGCCUGGGGAGUACGGUCGCAAGGCUGAAACUCAAAGGAAUUG
rnacentral:rRNA from 1 species